rnacentral:misc_RNA from 1 species
GUUUUGUAACAUUCUUUCCUGUUGCAAAGAUAACAUCCUCAGAGAAGUACGACGCUACGCGACGAGAAACAUACAUAAACAAGAGUUUAAUACAAACCAUACAAGAGAUUUCUAUCGUUAGUAGUCAUCGCCUCUUGAUAUAACCUCUUUGCAAGUCGGACGAAGUAAAAUGGUGUGCUCAAACUGGGAUACGUAGCUACCUUUGUUAUCGCAAAGUGGGGGAUAUGGCUGAACAAUUCCAGCA